GGGGCAGAUCUGAGGGGUCGGGACCCAGCUGCCUGACCGGGUGAAAGGGACACCAGCGGGCUGGACAGGCCCAAGGAAACAACAAAACAAAUCCCCUUCCAAUAAAGACAUCCCACGCCGGACUCGCUCGGGUCCUGCUGCAAAAGUUGCUGAUCACUCACAUUUCACACAUUGAAACUUUGCUCUUUAGGCUGAGUGCUAUACAUUUUAGUCGCAGUUAAAAAUCACAGUCAGCUACUUUUUCCCUCCACUUUUCGAAGGGGGAGGUACUGAAGCCAGACUAGUCUUAGUAAAUUUGAUGAAAACGACAGGGAUACAAAGGCCUUGCUGGCAAUCUGCGUCUCUGUUUCGCCACAAGGUUACAAAGGCCCCCAUAUGAUCAGUUACAGUAUUAUGUCACCAAACAACUUCAAUAUCGCCCCAUGUUGGGCGGAAAGCCAUGGCCGUCUUUGUAGCCCUGCAGAAGAGCCCUUUGAUAGGAACAAGGGCAGGAAUUGUGGCAUGUAUCAUGUGAGCUGAGCUGAGUGACCUCCUCUGUUGGUGCAAUCUACAUCUGACCCUAGACCAUGAGUGUUCGGCAUUUCUCGACUGUCCACUGACCAGCAACAACCUUCCAGAUCACUGAAAAUGUCAGGCGGGUGGACCACCGGUCCUCUCUUAUCAUGACUGAUGGCAUGGCAGAAUUUUAAAUAAGUGCUGUUUGUUCCUGAAUAAA